rnacentral:rRNA from 1 species
GUGAGGAAUAUUGGUCAAUGGGCGGGAGCCUGAACCAGCCAAGUCGCGUGAAGGAAGAAGGAUCUAUGGUUCGUAAACUUCUUUUGCAGGGGAAUAAAGUGCAGGACGUGUCCUGUUUUGUAUGUACCCUGAGAAUAAGGAUCGGCUAACUCCGUGCCAGCAGCCGCGGUAAUACGGAGGAUCCGAGCGUUAUCCGGAUUUAUUGGGUUUAAAGGGUGCGUAGGUGGGUUGAUAAGUCAGCGGUGAAAGUUUGCAGCUUAACUGUAAAAAUGCCGUUGAAACUGUCGGACUUGAGUGUAAAUGAGGUAGGCGGAAUGCGUGGUGUAGCGGUGAAAUGCAUAGAUAUCACGCAGAACUCCGAUUGCGAAGGCAGCUUACUAAGCUACAACUGACACUGAAGCACGAAAGCGUGGGGAUCAAACAGGAUUAGAUACCCGGGUAGUCC